UGGGGAAUAUUGGACAAUGGGCGCAAGCCUGAUCCAGCCAUGCCGCGUGUGUGAAGAAGGCCUUUUGGUUGUAAAGCACUUUAAGCGAGGAGGAGGCUACUUGGAUUAAUACUCUAGGAUAGUGGACGUUACUCGCAGAAUAAGCACCGGCUAACUCUGUGCCAGCAGCCGCGGUAAUACAGAGGAUGCGAGCGUUAAUCGGAUUUACUGGGCGUAAAGCGUGCGUAGGCGGCUUCUUAAGUCGGAUGUGAAAUCCCUGAGCUUAACUUAGGAAUUGCAUUCGAUACUGGGAAGCUAGAGUAUGGGAGAGGAUGGUAGAAUUCCAGGUGUAGCGGUGAAAUGCGUAGAGAUCUGGAGGAAUACCGAUGGCGAAGGCAGCCAUCUGGCCUAAUACUGACGCUGAGGUACGAAAGCAUGGGGAGCAAACAGG
rnacentral:rRNA from 1 species